rnacentral:rRNA from 1 species
CGGUGAGUAACACGUGGGUGAUCUGCCCUGCACUCUGGGAUAAGCCUGGGAAACUGGGUCUAAUACCGGAUAGGACCAUGCUUUAGUGUGUGUGGUGGAAAGUUUUUUCGGUGUAGGAUGAGCCCGCGGCCUAUCAGCUUGUUGGUGGGGUAAUGGCCUACCAAGGCGGCGACGGGUAGCCGGACUGAGAGGUUGGUCGGCCACAUUGGGACUGAGAUACGGCCCAG